AAUCGAGUAAGCGAAGCAGUGUGGCGAAUAGAGUAUAGCCAGAGAUGGUCUAGAGACUAUGAUAUGCAUAGAUUGUGAAAGUGGAAAGAUGAGAUUGAGAUGUGAGACUGGAGUCAGAUUUAAGGCAAGUAUCCUAUACCCUUCUUUUGGAUAUCUUGCAAUUAUUCUGAUCCAUUCUUUUCGUAUGUGUUGCAAAUAUUCGUUCCUCUCUUUUUCAUAUUUGGAAAGUGCAAAUAUUUUUAUCCAUCCUUUUCUAAUCCUCAAAAAUUCAGAUAAUUCCAGUUUUACAAAUUAAUUCGAAGUUCAGAUUGUCAUUGAAGCAUGUGUUGCUCAGUGAUGGUUAGAACCUUGAAUGAAUUGGGAUCUUCUUGAUUAUUCAACCCGCCAUUGUCAUGCUGGUUUAGCAGGCUAAAUUCAGUUGCUUAACCGAUAAUGGAGGAUACUGAAUAGUUAAGGAUUUCCUGAACUAUGAUUUAUGAAAGGAUGGAUCGUGGCUUAUGAAAAGUUGAUUAUCAAAGUUUGAUUUG
rnacentral:lncRNA from 1 species